GCUCGUAUUGUAUAGCGGUUAUUACGUCGCCUUUACACGGCGAAGGUCGUGGGUUCGAACCCCACUAUGAGUA